UACGCAGGGGGCAAGCGUUGUCCGGAAUCAUUGGGCGUAAAGCGCGUGUAGGCGGCUUCGUAAGUCCGUUGUGAAAGUCCAGGGCUCAACCCUGGAAUGCCGAUGGAUACUGCGGAGCUAGAGUCCGGAAGAGGCGAGUGGAAUUCCUGGUGUAGCGGUGAAAUGCGCAGAUAUCAGGAGGAACACCAAUGGCGAAGGCAGCUCGCUGGGACGGUACUGACGCUGAGACGCGAAAGCGUGGGGAGCAAACAGG
rnacentral:rRNA from 1 species